UGGAAUGACGGUGGUGGUGAAUUCCUCACAAGAAGACGAAGCAGAGUUACAGAAACUCACUCUCCAUCGUUCCUGUCCCUCUCCAACAUUCCCAUCUCCAUCGCCUUACCUUCCAUUUUCCGUACUUUGAUUUCGAUUAUUAUUACCAUAAAAAAGCUACCCACAUUCUUCACUACUUCGUCUCUGAUUCCUUUUCUUUUCUGUUCUUCAGCACAGCGAGCAGAAUCAAAGAAAUAACACUUGAUCAAUUGCAGGUUGGAAGGUUUCUUUCUUUUCAGUUAGAUGCUUUUGAAGUUAUAAAUGGCAACUUUCCUGUCUUCACUUGUCAUACAGCCCUUCUGUGUAUAUAAUUCUGGAGUUACUGAAUCAUUCAAACUAGCUGUAGGUGAUCACCAUACAUAUGGACAGAAGAUAAAGUAUCACUCUGGAAAAAUGGAUGAGGCUAGAAUGCUAGCUCAUGGAGAAAGUAGAGUAGGUUCUACAAAAUCUUCGCACCGCAACCUUAGUAAAGUAUAUGCUACAUCGGGAAUUUUGGUUGGGAAAAGUGGACAGAGAUUUGGUACUGGUGGUAAAAGUAAGGAACAUGUAAAGGUUGCAACUUAUUUGUUUAGAACAGAGUUUGGGGAUUUGGUGAAUGUUUUUGUUGGAAAGACAGGGUCUGGUUUUAUGGUCAAUGUUGAAAUUUCAUCCGUGCAACUAGCGAGCAUCGAAAAAACACUGCUGCUUAGUUGGGGGGUUUAUAGAUCUGAUUCUGCUAUUGUAACUCCCAACUUUCAGAGUUCACUCCCAGAUGAGACAAUUGGAGCCACUGAAACCCCUUUUGUAAAAACUUCUGGAGGAAAAUUUGCUGUUGAAUUGGAGUUUGAUGCUAAGCACACUCCUUUCUACCUUUCUUUUCUGUUGAAAUAUCCAGUGGGUGUUGAUUCAGGCAGCUCUGAAAUUAGAAGUCAUAGGAAGACUAGCUUUACUGUACCUGUUGGGUUUGGCCGAGGUUAUCCGAGUCCACUGGGUCUUUCCAUUUCCGGUGACGGUUCUAUAAAUUUUUCCAUUUUCUCAAGCACUGCAGAAAGUGUAGUUUUAUGUCUGUACAAUGAUAGCACAUCAGAAAAACCUGUAUUAGAGCUAGAUUUAGAUUCGUACAUUAACCGAUCAGGUAGUAUUUGGCAUGCCUCAUUUGAAAGUGCCUCAAAUUUUGUAAGCUAUGGUUAUCGAUGCAAAGGGUCCAAGUUCCAUGAAAAUCAAGAUGGAGUUGAGGUAAAUCGGAUUGUUGUGGAUCCGUAUGCUAAGAUCCUUACAGCAUCUGUUGCCAAAACUCUUGGUCAGGGACUUGGAUUGCCAAAAUUUCUUGGGCAAAUAUGCAAAGUACCUGCUUUUGACUGGGAUGGCGAAGUUUGUCCGAACUUGCCAAUGGAGAAACUUUUUGCUUAUCGGUUGAAUGUGAAGCGUUUUACUGUCGACAAAUCAAGUCAGCUUCCAGCAGAUAUUGCGGGUACAUUUUCUGGUUUGACCAAGAAGUUGUUGCAUUUUAAAAACUUGGGAGUGAAUGCAGUUCUACUAGAGCCAAUAUUUCAAUUUGAUGAGAAAGAAGGACUAUAUUUUCCCUUUCACUUCUUUUCACCAGCAAACAAUUAUGGUCCUUCUGGAGUUUCCAUUUCUGCUAUCAACUCCAUGAAGGGAAUGGUUAAACAACUGCAUGCCAAUGGAGUAGAGGUCAUCUUGGAAGUUGUUUUUACUCACACUGCCAUGGAUGGAGCACUGCAAGGGAUCGAUGACUCGUCUUACUAUUUUGUGAACAGGGUCGCGAAUUUAGAAGGAAAAAGUGCUCUGAAUUGCAAUUAUCCCAUAGUGCAGCAAUUACUUUUGGAUAGUCUUCGAUAUUGGGUGACUGAGUUUCAUAUAGAUGGUUUUUGUUUCAUAAAUGCUUCAUCUUUGUUGCGAGGACAUCAUGGCGAAUUUCUGUCCCGCUCUCCUUUUGUAGAAGCGAUUGCUUUUGAUCCGCUUCUAUCAAAAACUAAACUAGUUGCAGACUUCUGGGAUCCACAGGAGUUGGUAUCAGAGGAAACUAGUUUUCCUCAUUGGAAGAGAUGGGCAGAAGUGAAUUCAAAGUUCUGUAAUGAUGUAAGGGACUUUUUCAGGGGAGAAGGUCUUAUUAGUAGCCUUGCAACUCGACUUUGUGGGAGCGGAGAUGUGUUCUCAAAUGGCCGAGGCCCUGCAUUCUCUUUCAACUUCAUUACUAGAAAUGUUGGCCUUCCCCUUGUCGACCUUGUGAGCUUUAGCAACAGCAAGUUAGCUUCAGAGUUGAGUUGGAAUUGUGGGGAAGAAGGACCAACAAGUAAUAUUGAAGUUCUAGAAAAACGACUCAAACAAAUUCGUAAUUUUAUAUUUGUGGUGUUUGUUUCACUUGGUGUUCCUGUUCUUAACAUGGGAGACGAGUGCGGCCAAUCUGCAGGGGGAUCUGUGGCAUUCAACGACAGGCGGUCAUUCAAUUGGGAUUUACUAAAGACGGAUUUCGGUACUCAAACCACACAAUUCAUCACUUUUUUGAGUUCUUUUAGAUCAAGGCGUUUUGACCUUUUCCAGAGCAGAAACUUUCUGAAGGGAGAAAACAUAGACUGGUUUGAUAAUAACCAAUCACCACCACAGUGGGAAGAUCCUUCUUGCAAAUUCCUGGCUGUGAUGCUGAGGGCUGACAAAGAGGAAAAUGGAUCAAUCACUGAGAAUGCUAAGCCUCGAAGUGAUAUAUUUAUGGCUUUCAAUGCAUCUGACCAAUCUGAAACGGUUGCUUUACCUGAACCAUCAGAAGGUCGGUAUCCAAGUCGAGGCAAGCUCUGAGGAUACAAAUACGCAUGAACAUUAGAAGACAUAGCAGGCAGCAAGCUCCGGGAAUACAAACACGUAUGAACAUCAGAAGACAUAGGAGAUUCAAUACUACCAUGUUCGAUCUUCGAAGCACUCUUCGAACGGUCAGUGGCUUCAUCGUCGUGGCCAGGUUCCUUUUGAAAGAACCAGAGCUUGGCUUCUUUUCCCAUUGCUUUUAUUUUUUGCAAGAGCACAAGAGGGUCAAUGUCGCCUAAUAUUGUUACCAGCCCUUUAUUUGGGUCUAUAGUAACAGAUUCCACUCCUACCACAGUAAAUUCACAUAUGAAGGGGGAAAACUCAGAUGCAACAUAAGGGUAAAUGCAAGUUCUAUAUUGUGAUGAAAGAGAUGAGGAUUGAAAUGUUUCUUAUUAAAAAGGAAAGAAAUACCUUUUGGGGCCUUGGUUUUUCUUAUUAAAAAGGAAAGAAAUACCUUUUGGGCCCUUA